CAUUGAAUUUUCAAUAUUUUUUAAAAAAUGUCCGUCCGUAGCUAGCGUUCCGUAGAACUCCAACGAUAGGUUUUACGUCCGUCAACGAAUCUUUUGGCUGUCGGUAGGUGGCUAAAAUGGAUUGUCCCCCAUCCACCAGAUGACGCGAGUGUGUUUGUGAGGACGAAAUAUUUGCCAUUUGUUUCCGAGACGCUGACUGAAAGUGUGUUCCAAAAUCAUUACGGAAUUGAGGUGUCGAUCUACAUUUUCAGCCAUGAAAUGUAAUUGGCAAUCUGGCAUAAUAUCACUUGGCCAAAUAUGUGACGUGGGUCGAAACUGAUGUCCAUUUUGCCGAAAUGUCGGCCAUUGUUAGCUGUACCUGUAUACGGCAUGGUAUACGGCUGUGCGUCUCAUCUUGUGCAGAAACACUUCAGAGCUGGUCUGGGACGGAUAUCUCUUUGAUCAACUAUUGCAUAAAUUAAGAACACGACAAAGUCUGAGCUUCAUGGCUGUUGUAUCAUUAACAUGGUUCUGUUGCAGCCAGCUGGUGAAAGGUGUGAUCAAGUCAAGUUGAGCUGUAGCUGCUGCAUGCAGUUUAUCAAGCUGGGUUAAAGUGCCACUGCAGGAAGACUUCUUGAAUUGGAGUUCAUGGUCGGUUUGAUGUUUAUGGUGUUGCUGUUUGGUGUACAGUGGUUUUGCAGCCCCUUUCCAAUUGAGAGAUGCCCUGAAAUGGAGCUUGUGAAGACUUGCAUUUCAACAUCACACUUAAAUGUCUCUUUUGUCUAUGCAUGGUAUCCAUGCAGUAUAUGCAGUGUUGAACAGUUGGGUAAAAUAGUCAAUGAUGUUUGAUGUCAGUCUUAUUUUAUCGGUUGCACUUUGUCGAUAUGUCGUCUCUUGGUACCGGCGUUGAGUUUAAUCGUUUGCUGCCGUUUCAUAGACUUGAUCCAUUGGUAAAACUGAGGAGAGGUUGCUGAAAUUCAAGACUCGUCAAUAAAUUAUGUAGAUGUAGACAAAUUACAAGUGCAUAUCUGGGCUCCCUUCUUCAGUUACCCCGUUUCCCUAACUAACAACUAACCAACGCCGGCUGGUGGUCACUCUCUCGCUGCGACAACCAGGAGGAAGGGAGAUGACUGGUCGAACGGGGACUUGCAAGGCGCAUGAUUCGAUGAAAUCUGUUGGAGGUCAUGAGUCUAAGCCGGAAGCCUACUAAGAUGCAUUGCUCUCUUAAAAACUGUUCCUCGGCUCUCUUCGCUCUUUUUCCGGUUUCUCUUAACCAUGGGCGGGUAAUCUCCCUGGUCCAGCCAAUCAAGGCAGAGUCUCCCCCUGCUUUGAUUGGCUGCGUUUUGAUCCGGACGGUCUGUUUAGCAAAUAUAAUUCAAUAUGUAAAAUAAAUGUAAACCUUUAUAGUCGUUUUAAUUAAAUGUCAAUUUAUUAACAAACAUGCAUAGUGAAUUAAAUUUAUUAAACACACCGUCCGGAUCAAGACGCAGCCAAUCACAAAUUUUAUUAUAUUCAUCAAAAAAAUAAUCAUUAAGUUAUGUUACAGCAUUCCCCGUAUAUUAUGGUUCGUCCCGGUUUGUAUUGCUUUGUUUAAUCUUUAGUUGAACGCUAAAUAUAUUAGGCUAGCUAAGAGAAUUUGGCUAGAUCUUUA